UAACAAGAAAAAUAAGAAUUCUCAGGAAGAAUGUAAUCUUGAUUCUCUUUUAAAUCCUCAACAUUAUGAAACUGAGCCUUCAAUAAAAGGGAAAACAGACUCCAGACCAGAGAAGCAUUAUGGAGGUGCAUAUUAAAAGCCUGGUCCCUGGCUUGGUGUUAUUGGAAGGUGGUGGCAGCUUUAAGAGUGCAGACUUUGUAAGGCUGAAGGAAGAUGCACAGGAGGAGGUGAUGUAUUUGAACAGGUUGGUGGAGAAACUGACACCAGAUAGGAAGAACAAUUUACACUAAAUGACAAGAGGAAGCAACAUGAGGAAGUGACAGUUUUCUUCGAAGAAAAAGCAAAGAAGCAACAGCCAUUGGAGACGUUUCCUUUCUUUCUGUCAUGUUACAAGAAUUAGUGGGUUUGUGUCAUGAUGUCACUACAGAGGGAACACUGCAUGCAUGAUCUUACUCACCCAUGCAUUAGUAACUACCUUCAUACAGUCCCCAAGUUGUAAGGCUCGUCACAAACAUUCCAGAACCUUCUAUAUUUAGUCAUUAAAACCAUUACAUGAAAACCUUUAAAAA
rnacentral:sRNA from 1 species